UACAGAGGGUGCAAGCGUUAAUCGGAAUUACUGGGCGUAAAGCGUGCGUAGACGGUUAUGUAAGUCAGAUGUGAAAGCCCCGGGCUCAACCUGGGAAUUGCAUUUGAGACUGCAUAGCUAGGGUGCGGAAGAGGGAAGCGGAAUUUCCGGUGUAGCGGUGAAAUGCGUAGAUAUCGGAAGGAACACCAGUGGCGAAAGCGGCUUACUGGUCCGGAUCUGACGCUGAGGCGCGAAAGCGUGGGGAGCAAACAGG
rnacentral:rRNA from 1 species